rfam:Salinisphaera hydrothermalis C41B8 contig11, whole genome shotgun sequence.
GUUCGCUGCCGCAUAGGCAGCUCAGAAA